GAGGAAUGUAUAGCAAUAGCUACUUGCAUCAUAGUAGAUAUGAUGCAAGAUCGACUAUGUUGAAUAAAAUUCUAGGUAGAAUUAUGAUAAUGACAUUGUCUGCCUAUGUGUCUUGACCAAAUUACGUGCCAGCAGUCGCGGUAAUACGUAGAAGACUAGUGUUAUUCAUGUUUAAUCGGUUUAAAGGGUACCUAGACGGUAGAUCAAGCUUUCUAAUAAAGGAAAAGGACUAAUUUACUAGAGUUACUUAUGAGGGGGUAUUAAAGUACUGCUGGUGUAGAGAUGAAAUUCUGUCAUACCUCUUUUCAAAAGAAAAACCAUGGCACAGGUAUAGGCGAAGGCAUCCCCUUAUGUGAUAACUGACGUUGAGGGACGAAGGCUUUGUGUAGCGAACAGGAUUAGAUACCCCAGUAGUCGAAGCAGAAAAUGAUGAAUGUCAUAGAUUAGAUAUAUAAGUUUAUUCUAUAAAUGAAAGUGUAAGCAUUCCACCUCAUGAGUAAUUUGGCAACAUUGGAACUGAAAUCAUUAGACCGUUUCUGAAACCAG
rnacentral:rRNA from 2 species